rnacentral:rRNA from 1 species
AUUGAACGCUGGCGGCAUGCCUUACACAUGCAAGUCGAACGGCAGCACGGGUGCUUGCCCCUGGUGGCGAGUGGCGAACGGGUGAGUAAUACAUCGGAACAUGUCCUGUAGUGGGGGAUAGCCCGGCGAAAGCCGGAUUAAUACCGCAUACGAUCUACGGAUUAAAGCGGGGGACCUUCGGGCCUCGCGCUAUAGGGUUGGCCGAUGGCUGAUUAGCUAGUUGGUGGGGUAAAGGCCUACCAAGGCGACGAUCAGUAGAUGGUCUGAGAGGACGACCAGCCACACUGGGACUGAGACACGGCCCAGACUCCUACGGGAGGCAGCAGUGGGGAAUUUUGGACAAAGGGCGAAAGCCUGAUCCAGCAAUGCCGCGUGUGUGAAGAAGGCCUUCGGGUUGUAAAGCACUUUUGUCCGGAAAGAAAUCCUUGGCUCUAAUACAGUCGGGGGAUGACGGUACCGGAAGAAUAAGCACCGGCUAACUACGUG